CAAGAUCCAUAAGCAGAGAGAGAGAGAGAGAGAGAGAGAGAGAGAGAGAUGGCUAACACUCUUGUGAAGAAUGCUUUCGUCUUGGCUGUUUUCUUCACCCUUGUCAUCGGAAUGUCUCUGGCCUGUGAAACCACGUCGCGCUUGUCGGAAUUCACCUCUUGCAGUGAAUGCAACGACUUCUGCACAUACAGACAUUUCAAGCGGGGCGCUUGCGUGGGAUUAUGGCCGUUUCGCGAAUGCGUCUGCUACAGAGACUGUGGCAAGUGAACGACGAAUAUGCAAACCGUCAUCCAGUAUGGGUAUACGCUUAUUACAUAUAUAUACAUAUAUAUAUAUGUCAGUUUAAGCAAGAAAAAUGAAUAACGUAUGAGUGUGAGAAUGUGUGUUAAUCUGUCUUUCUAUUGUAAUAAAAAGAAAGGGUUCUUUCUUUCAUGUUGUUCAUGAACUUGCAUUGUGUGUGUGCGUGUGUUUGGAUUUUGUAAUUUUUUUUUUUAAAAAAAAGAAAGGGCUCGUUACAGGCCCUUUUUGCGACU